UCCGGUUGAUCCUGCCGGACCCCACUGCUAUCGGGAUAGGACUAAGACAUGCUAGUCGAGUGAUUCAGGCAAAACGAGUCACGGCACACAGCUCAGUAACACGUGGCUAAUCUGCCCUUAGGACGAGAACAACCCCGGGAAACUGGGGCUAACUCUCGAUAGGCGAAGAACUCUGGAAUGAGUCUUUACCUAAAUAGCGCAACGUUAUCCUCGUUGCAUCGCCUAAGGAUGAGGCCGCGACCGAUCAGGUUGUUGGCGAGGUAAUGGCUCACCAAGCCUUUUACCGGUGCGGGCCGUGAGAGCGGGAGCCCGGAGAUGGGCACUGAGACAAGGGCCCAGGCCCUACGGGGCGCAGCAGUCGCGAAAACUUUGCAAUAAGCGAAAGCUUGACAGGGCUAUCCCGAGUGCCAUCCGCUGAGGAAGGCUUUUACCCAGUCUAGAACGCUGGGGGAAUAAGGAGAGGGCAAGUCUGGUGUCAGCCGCCGCGGUAAUACCAGCUCUCCGAGUGGUGUGGAUGUUUAUUGGGCCUAAAGCAUCCGUAGCUGGCUAGGUCAGUCCCUUGUUAAAUCCACCGAAUUAAUCGUUGGAUUGCGGGGAUACUGCUUGGCUAGGGGACGAGAGAGGCAGACGGUAUUUUCGGGGUAGGGGUGAAAUCCUAUAAUCCCGGGAAGACCACCAGUGGCGAAGGCUGUCUGCUAGAACGCGCCCGACGGUGAGGGAUGAAAGCUGGGGGAGCGAACCGGAUUAGAUACCCGGGUAGUCCCAGCUGUAAACGAUGCAGACUAUGUGUUUGGACGGCCACGUGCCGUUCUAGUGCCGCAGGGAAGCUGUUAAGUCUGCCGCCUGGGGAGUACGAUCGCAAGAUUGAAACUUAAGGAAU
rnacentral:rRNA from 1 species